UGGCGAACGGGUGAGUAACGCGUGAGGAACCUGCCUCAAAGAGGGGGACAACAGUUGGAAACGACUGCUAAUACCGCACAAGCCCACGGGUCGGCAUCGACCUGAGGGAAAAGGAGUGAUCCGCUUUGAGAUGGCCUCGCGUCCGAUUAGCUAGUUGGUGAGGUAACGGCCCACCAAGGCAACGAUCGGUAGCCGGACUGAGAGGUUGAACGGCCACAUUGGGACUGAGACACGGCCCAG
rnacentral:rRNA from 1 species